AAAAAUCAUGAAAUGGGCAGGCAGGGGGGGCAGCUAGGGCUGCUAGAUUGGCCUUUAUAGUUGAGAAGUUGAUCAUCAGAAGAGUCGGUGCCAUCAAAUUAAAAGAUCAAAAAAGAAAGAAAGAAAAAGGGACUGCAGAAGAAGGUAAAAGGAAAAGGGUAAGGUUAUGACUUGUGAGAGUGAGUGCCAAGUAAGUGGUGGUGGGGGUGGUACAUAUGCAAAGUUUGAACCAUUUAAAAAGAGAAACAAACAAAAUGACCCUUAAUUUGCCAGCUUAUAUAGACUUCAAAAAGCCCCAAAAGAAAAGAGUCAACAAUGCGAUCAUCAUCAUUAUCACCAUUCAACCCCACUCUCCCCCUGUAAUUUAUU
rnacentral:misc_RNA from 1 species